GCAUUUUGUAGGCAUGCAGUAGGACCUGGACACAGACUUCCACACCUUUGCAUCAUAAGGAGAAUAUUAUUACCCUACCAGUGGCCCAGCCAGAUAAGCUAUUUUGGGCGGGCAGUCUGUAUUUUUUUAAGGUCUCCUUCUGCAGCACCAGUAACUCUGUAUGCCCUGCCUGAAGAACUAAGCUGCUUUUUAUUUAAAACUGAGAAGAUCAAUGGAGAGUUUAGGAAAAGACCAUGCUUACUUGAACCCUUCCCUCUUGCCCUCCACAGCCCAUGAGGAAUACACUGUGCAAGAUGUCAUCAUCACACGCCGCUUGAGAGACCGAGAGCUGCUCCAGAAAAGAAAAGCAGAAGCCCAGGAGAAAGACUCAGUUCAGUGGGUCCUGGGGGAGCAAGAGAAGAGCAAACGGCAAAAGAGAGGCAGAGGAGCUGGGAGAGGACGAGGCCAUCGGCCAGUUAUUCAGGCUGAACCUAAGCCCGAACCCAAGCCAGAACCUCAUCCUGAAGUGUUGGAGGAAGGAGAAGCAGAGAAAGAACUGGCUGAGCUGGCACCACCUGUACUAGAACACCAAGGAAAGCCACCCAUGAUGAUGAUCCAAGAGCUCCUCAGUGGGACACAGCAGGGAGCAGUGAGGGAGGAAUCAACUGAGGGGAGCCUGUAUGGAGCAGAUGAAGAGGAUUCACUGAGACCAGCAGAAGCAGAAAUACCAGAGGCUUUGAACAUUUGUCUGGAAAACAAUCAGGAUAAUGAAUACUACACACCAGUUUUAUUUUAAUUUUUUUGUUUUGUCUUCUGCCUGUCAAACUCUAAGUGCUGUAGAGUGAUUUAGAUCAGCUAUUUUUGUGUGAGCAAUAAAACCAAAC
rnacentral:lncRNA from 1 species